GCAGACGACCCGCGAACACGUGAACAACACUGGGGAUGYGGGCAUGCCCGCGGCUCCUUGACGGUGCACACAACCCUUGGAAGUGUGCAUCGACGCCAAACGAACCCCGGCGCAAUCCGCGCCAAGGAAAACAUAACUCGAGAGCGCCUCGUCCUGCCGUCGUCCCGUUUGCGGUGUGCGUGCGGUUGAGCGGUCGCUUCUUAGUGAAAAACACAAACGACUCUCGGCAACGGAUAUCUCGGCUCUCGCAUCGAUGAAGGAACGCAGCAAAUUGCAGAUCCGUGACCAUCGAGUCUUUGAACGCAAGUUGCGCCCGAAGCCAUUAGGCCGAGGGCACGUCUGCAUGGGCGUCACGCAUCGCGUCGCACCCCCUACCAAAACUAAACAAGGGGGAGCGGAUACUGGCCUCCCGUGCCUUUCGGCGCGGCUGGCUCAAAACGGAGUUCCCCGCGAAGGACGCACGACAAGUGGUGGUUGAUAACAAGGCCCUCGCAAUUUGUCGCGCGCACGUCCUGCGAUUGGGUUGGCUCUCGUGACCCUGAAGCUCCUUACUUAGGCGCUCCGACCGCGACCCCAUGUCAGGCGGGACUACCCGCUGAGUUUAAGCAUAU
rnacentral:rRNA from 1 species